GGGGUUGUGGCUCAAUGGUAGAGCACUUGCCUAGCAUGUGUGAGGCACUGGGUUCAAUCCUCAGCACCA
rnacentral:tRNA from 1 species